rnacentral:misc_RNA from 1 species
GAAAUGCGAUAAGUAAUGUGAAUUGCAGAAUUCAGUGAAUCAUCGAAUCUUUGAACGCACAUUGCGCCCCUUGGUAUUCCGGGGGGCAUGCCCGUUCGAGCGUCAUUACACCACUCAAGCCUGGCUUGGUAUUGGGCGUCCGGCACUCACCUGCCCGCCCCAAAUUCUCUUCGGCUGAUCGGUUUACUUUCUUAGCGUUGGAGUGUUGUCAUUACGUUCCGCUAAUCGAAAGACGCCGGCCGGCCGUUAAACACUCUAAUCACGGUUGACCUCGGAUCGGGUAGGGAUACCCGCUGAACUUAA